AACGCUUAUUAGGAAAGCCGACCCAAGAAGCAGAGCGCUUCCAGGUGCCGAGUGGUAAAGCAAGGAGUUAUGGCGUAACGAACUUUGUCGACACAACGCCAAACAAAAAAGCCAACACAUGCAAGGGGAAAGAACAUUAAGUGCUGAGUGCAAAACUAGUGGCGGACGGGUGAGUAACGCGUGGGCAACCUACCCAUAAGAGGGGGAUAACAGCUGGAAACGGCUGCUAAUACCCCAUAAGCCGUGAGGUAAAAGGAUCAAUCCGGCAGAGGAGGUACUCGCGUCCUAUCAGCUAGUAGGUGAGGUAACGGCUCACCUAGGCGAAGACGGGUAGCCGGCCUGAGAGGGCGAACGGCCACACUGGAACUGAGAUACGGUCCAGACUCCUACGGGAGGCAGCAGUGGGGAAUAUUGGGCAAUGGGGGAAACCCUGACCCAGCGACGCCGCGUGGGUGAAGAAAUCCUUCGGGAUGUAAAGCCCUGUUGUAUGGGAAGAGCGGAAGACGGUACCAUACGAGGAAGCCCCGGCAAACUACGUG
rnacentral:rRNA from 1 species